rnacentral:rRNA from 2 species
GCUGGCGGCGUGCCUNAUACAUGCAAGUCGAGCGAACGGACGAGAAGCUUGCUUCUCUGAUGUUAGCGGCGGACGGGUGAGUAACACGUGGAUAACCUACCUAUAAGACUGGGAUAACUUCGGGAAACCGGAGCUAAUACCGGAUAAUAUUUUGANCCGCAUGGUUCAAAAGUGAAAGACGGUCUUGCUGUCACUUAUAGAUGGAUCCGCGCUGCAUUAGCUAGUUGGUAAGGUAANNNCUUACCAAGGCAACGAUGCAUAGCCGACCUGAGAGGGUGAUCGGCCACACUGGAACUGAGACACGGUCCAGACUCCUACGGGAGGCAGCAGUAGGGAAUCUUCCGCAAUGGGCGAAAGCCUGACGGAGCAACGCCGCGUGAGUGAUGAAGGUCUUCGGAUCGUAAAACUCUGUUAUUAGGGAAGAACAUAUGUGUAAGUAACUGUGCACAUCUG